rnacentral:piRNA from 1 species
UGUGAGUGUCUGUGAAUGAUAGCCAUGC